UUUCGGAAUUAUUGGGGUAAAGAGUUUGUAGCGGUUUGUCGGGUUUGCUUGAAAGGCCAGGGCUCAACCCUGGUUUUGCAGUGGGUACGGGCAGACUUGAGUGAUGUAGGGGAGACUGGAAUUCCUGGUGUAGCGGUGAAAUGCGCAGAUAUCAGGAGGAACACCGAUGGCGAAGGCAGGUCUCUGGGCAUUAACUGACGCUGAGGAGCGAAAGCAUGGGGAGCGAACAGGAUUAGAUACCCUGGUAGUCCAUGCCGUAAACGUUGGGCACUAGGUGUGGGGGACAUUCCACGUUUUCCGCGCCGUAGCUAACGCAUUAAGUGCCCCGCCUGGGGAGUACGGCCGCAAGGCUAAAACUCAAAGGAAUUGACGGGGGCCCGCACAAGCGGCGGAGCAUGCGGAUUAAUUCGAUGCAACGCGAAGAACCUUACCAAGGCUUGACAUGGACUGGAUCGCAUCAGAGAUGGUGUUUCCCUUCGGGGCUGGUUCACAGGUGGUGCAUGGUUGUCGUCAGCUCGUGUCGUGAGAUGUUGGGUUAAGUCCCGCAACGAGCGCAACCCUCGUUCCAUGUUGCCAGCGCGUAAUGGCGGGGACUCAUGGGAGACUGCCGGGGUCAACUCGGAGGAAGGUGGGGACGACGUCAAAUCAUCAUGCCCCUUAUGUCUUGGGCUUCACGCAUGCUACAAUGGCCGGUACAAAGGGUUGCGAUACUGUGAGGUGGAGCUAAUCCCAAAAAGCCGGUCUCAGUUCGGAUUGGGGUCUGCAACUCGACCCCAUGAAGUUGGAGUCGCUAGUAAUCGCAGAUCAGCAACGCUGCGGUGAAUACGUUCCCGGGCCUUGUACACACCGCCCGUCAAGUCACGAAAGUUGGUAACACCCGAAGCCGGUGGCCUAACCCCUUG
rnacentral:rRNA from 1 species